GGGGAAGUGGGUGGGAUCACACUGACCCCCUAAGUACCUGCCCACAGGCCCCCGGCCCCACCCGUUGUCCCAGAGCUUCCGGAGCUUCCGGAGGUGGUUGAAGCUCCUCCCGACCUUCGGAGGCUGAUCCUGGAGCACGCCCAGCGCCCGGGGGGAUCGGAGCUGACGGCCAUGCUGCCCCCGGGGUCAUCCCGCGCACAUGUGGCAAAGAUCUUUGCCCUCUGCCUCGAGCUCUGUGGUGCCCAUUGGGUGCGCCUGGACCAGCCUCGUCCCUACGGACCAAUCACUGUCUCGCUCCGCCCCCGCCCGGAAUAAACGCCACCUUCUUCCGGCCUGUCCUGGGCA